rnacentral:SRP_RNA from 1 species
GCUGGGCAUUGUGGCUGGUGCCUGUCAUCCCAGCUCCCAGAGAGGCUGAGGCCAGCAGAUCGCUUGAGCUCAGGAUUUCUGGGCUGCAGUGGGCUGUGCUGAUCGGGUGUCCACACUAAGUUUGGCAUCAAUACGGUGAUCCCUGGGAAGCUUGGGGUCCCCAGGUCACCUAAGGAGGGGUGAACCAGUCCAGGUCAGAAAUGGAGCAGGUCAAAACUCCCAUGCUGAUCAGUAGUGGGAUCGUGCCUGUGAAUAGCCUCUGCAGUGUAGCCUGGGCAAGAUGGUGAGACACGGUCUCUU